ensembl:lncRNA
CUGGUGGGAAUGCAGCCUGGGGAGCAGAGCCUGCCUACACAUUACAACUGUUUGGGUACAUAACAGCUGGUACUGUGUCCUGCUAGCAAAUAAAAGCCUCUAUUCUAAGUUACAGUGAGCCCGAGCUGCCCUGGCCCCAUUUCCCCAUGGCUGUUGCAAGCUCUGUUUUUCGUUUGCAUGCAAUGAGCACUAGAGGGCUGCAGAGAACUGCUUUUGCAGUUGCAGACGCUGACAUUAAUGCAGGACGCAGUUUUUCCCUGCCAGUUGCUCCAGUCCUUGAAGGAAAGCAGGCAGCAGGAGUGCAGGAUGGGAUGGUUUGGUUUUCCUCACCUGGGAAUAGGAGGUGGGUGUCGUUGGGAUGCAGCCAUUGAGGAGAGGCACUGUGAGAUGUUCUGCUGCAAUGAAGCAAAAUAAUUCAGGUUCAUCUCCAGUCUGACCCCCUUCAUUUUGCUGAUUUCACCGUGGCCCCACGGCUGCGUAGUUUUUGCUUUCUCCCGUGACCCAUUUGGAAACUUUUUUCUUGCCAGUCAUUUCCAACUGCUGAGAACCUGUCAAGCAAACCCAAAUUGUAUAGAGAGCUAUCAAAUUUAUACCCCUUUUCGUCACUUUCAGGUUUGUAAUGCUACUCAUGGAAUAGAAUGGAGUAGAGUAGAGUACAGCAGAGUAUGGUAGAGUGGAGUAGAGUAGAGUAAAGUAGAAUAGAAUGGAGUAGAGUGGAAUAGAAUGGAGUAGAGUAGAAUGGAGUAGAGUAGAAUGGUGUACAGUAGAAUAGAAUGGAGUAGAGUGGAGUAGAAUGGAGUAGAGUAGAAUAGAAUGGAGUAGAAUGGUGUACAGUAAAGCAGAAUAGAAUGGAGUAGUGUAGAGUACAGUAGAGCAGAGUAGAAUGGAGUAGGUAGAAUAGAAGGGAGUAGAGUAGGGUAGAAUUGAGUAAUGUAGGAUAGAAUGGAGUAGAGUAGGGUAGAAUUGAAUAGAGUAAUGUAGGAUAGAAUGGAGUAGAGUAGAGUAGAGUAGAAUGGAGAAGAGUAGAGUAGAAUAGAACAGAGUAGAGUGAGUAGAGCAGAGUGGAGUAGAAUAGGAUGGAGCGGAGUACGGUAGAGUAGAGUGGAAGAGUAUGGGAGAGAAUGGUUUGGGUUGGAUCUUAAGCAUCCAUCUCCUUUGUGCUCACAGUUUCUCCUGAGUUUUAUUUUUAUCAGAUAUUUUCUGUUGGAAUCUUCAUUACUGUUUUGAUGCCCGAAGUCAUCAAUAAAAGCAGGAAGCCAAGCAGCGCCGGGCUCUGAAGAUCUUCCAAAGACCUCUUUUCAACCUCAGUUACUGCAAGCUUCUCACCUUAAAACCAGCUGGUCCAGAGAUUCUAUCCUUCUCCUUCCCAGUGUAGAUGACAAAAGCUGGCUUCCCCUGGUAGGGAAGGAGAGUGCUGCAUCCCAUCUAAAUGCCUUCAGCGGAGCAGGUUUCCUUCUGCUAGCCAACGAAAUGCAUACCAAUCACUCCUUGGUUUCUUUUCUGUUAUUGUUUUUUUUUUGCAAUCACACCUAAUUCUAAAUACUUGAAAAUCUGGCCAUGAAAGCUUUGGGUGGGAAAAAAAAAAGCUCCACACGUAUAUAAAUACUUUUUUUUUCUUAUUUAAAAACGUAAUUAUACAGACACAGCGGGACAGAAUUUACAGUAUAAUUAUGCAAACAGGAGUCACCGAGGCCAGCGUCUGCUCCUCAGUCGAGACAGGCAACAUCUCCGCCUGCAGUAACCCUAUUAGCAGCAGCUGUUGAAUAAUACAAGUUCCCUAUAUUUGCUUUAGGGUGCAAUUCACCCAUCUGCAGAGGGUCAGCACCAGAGCUGUGUUCUAGUGAAGUCUUAUUUAAUACCUGUAAGCAAGGCAUAAGUGAUGCAUGGCCUUGCACGGCUGCUCUAUGUGGGGGUCUCUUUACGUGCCUUCUCCCUGCUCGAUACCAAAUGGAAAAUCAUCUCCUGCAUUUCGCUCUGUUUUCUCUUGCUGCAUCUUCAGAAAGGCAGCUCACACUUGGGUGCUGCCAACCAACUUUGUGCACUAAAAAAAAAAACACCCAACGCAUGUAAAUCUACAUGCAUCAUUUUGGAUGGAACCAUCACCGCACUGCACUGCAGGAAUGGGGAGUGGCGAAGGGGGAAAUGAGGAAAGAAUGGGAAAAUACGAGGUGGAUAAAACCACAACUGAAAGACAAGGGCAGUUUUGAACGCUGGACCUUGCAGCUUCUGAGUUUUCUGCUCUCACAACAAGAAAUCAGAAUGCUCAACAGAGGGAAAUCGCUGCUUCCAGCAGAAAACAGCCUCAUGGCAAUGUGUUGACCACCAGCCGUGCUGGUAAGGAACUAACUCUUAUGAUGGGAGAUGAGAUGUAGGCUGUGCAGGUUUGGUGCAUAUGGCCAAAUUUAACCUGGCUGCUCCUCCAACCCCUCUGCUUUGCUCUGUCGUAGCAAAAGGCGUUUUGAGCGCAUUCUCCUUCCUGCAGCUUGCCAGCAGAUGGCACGUACACACCGCGAGAGGUGGGAGGAAGCAAAGGGUCAGCAGAGGUAGGCCCUGAGCCUGGAAGUGAGCUGAGAUCCCCUGGAAGGCCCCUUGGUCACCUUGUCCAAGGGAGGAGGUGAUGCUGGAGCUAUGCUUCCCAUGGGGUUGUGUCUGUUCCAAGUGACCUCCAAUUGAAACGGGAACAUUUCUGUGUUCAGGUGGAUGAUGAGGUAGGCCAUCAGACUGGACAUGCUGAAAAAGCAAUGUUUUCUCUCCAACCCUUUGUGUGAGUCUGAAUACCAAGCGUGGCUGAGCCAGUUCUAUGGGAACCACUCACCCCUCUGCUUGUGGAUAGCUUGAAUUGGUUGAUGCUGACGCCGUGCUGAGCUUCCAGUGAGGGGAGAUGCUGCGAGUGAGACCUGGGCACAAGGCAGGACAAGGACAGUGUCACACCUCUGCCACUGCCCCUCAGCCCCCAGCAUCCUCUAUGAGUUUGACACCAAGAGGUGACAGCGUGGGGAGCAGUGGGGAUGGCACAUCCAUCUGCUGGACAGCCAGAAAAGGUCACAACAUCCAGCAGUUACCAACCUGCCUCAUCUCACCGCUGCCUACUGCUUCUCAGGUCCUGUCUUAUGCUAACUGACUGCAAUCUCCAGCGUUUUGGAGAUGGUUAAUUACUUUCCUCAGCGCCGUUUGUGUUGAUUACAUUUUUGUUUCGUGACGUGAGCAGGAGAGUGCCUCCUGCGGGGCUGGCAGCGCUCCCAGCACAGCUCCCACCACCCCUCCGUGUGAUGGAAAUGCUCAUGCCGUCCCAGAACAAUGCAGGCUCCUUCCCAAGUAUCUCCUAUUUCCCUGCUGCAGGUGCUGACGGGGAGCUGAUGCUCACUCCUGCUAUUUCUGGAUGACCCCAAGGCCAUUUUGCCUUUAUUCCAGCACUGGGGAAGGCUCAGCAAAUUGUGUCACCCACUGCAGUGCUGCUGUCUUCUCCAGCUCCCUGAGCACCAAGCAGACCCAUCCAAGGAUUCAAAGGGCAAGCUGAAAAAGAGCUCAAGUCUCUCCUGCAUCUCAUGGCACCUGGGCACGGCAGGUGUCACCUGGUGGGAGAUGUCCUGCCUUGAAUCAGGGAUAAAAGCUGAAAACUCCUCUUCAAACAAAUAUGUUUGAGUCAUUCUCCCUCCCCCCCUUCCCCCCCCCCCCCCCCCCCCCCCCCCCCCCCCCGACCUGCGAGCCUGGUUUUUAUGUACCGUGGUAAAUGCUAUGCCUUGAAAAGACCCACACAUGAAUAAAAAAUCAGGCUGUCACUCUGCCGUGCUCCUUUUAAAGAGAAAUUGCUUAAAGCAGCAAGAAGGAUGUCUAAUCUUGGGAAUCUGGAGCCAGUGUUUGCGAAGCGGGGGAGGUGGGGGUCACUGCAGUUUAUGCUCAUGAAUAAUGCAUCUGACAUUGUAGCCAUGCAAAUGGAACCUAACAAACUCCAACCUAAAUAAAAAUCUUGGUUGUUAUGUCAGGGUUUUUGUGUUGUUGUUGUUUUUUUUUCUUUUGCCUGGCCUCUCCUCCCAGCUCUCCCUUGGAUUUUGGGCACAAACGUUGGGCAACUGAAGAGGUGGGAGUGGGCGAUCAGUGGGGAGUAUGGAGCGCCCUUACAAAUCAUGGCAUGGAAUCACAGACUCAUAGAACGGCUUGGGUUGGAAGGGACUUGAAAGAUCAUCAAGAUCCUGGAGCUUGGAGCCAUCCUAUAAGUAGAAGACAGGACGUAUACAGCACAGGGCUCUGCUCCUAGGUGGGAUUUCUUUCUUCUUCUACAGGGUGAUGAGGGACUGCUGCCCAGAGGAGCUGUGGGUGCCCCAUCCCUGGAGGUGCCCAAGGCCAUGGGUGGGAUUCUGGGCAUCCUGAGCUGGUGGGGGGCACCCAGAUCACAGCAGGCAUGGAACCGGAUGAUCUUCCAGGUCCUUUCCAACACAAGCCAUAGUAGGAUUCCAUGACUUCUAUGGGAAUGACUGAGAAAUAGUCAGCAUUAGGAACCUUACUCUGUGAAUGGGCUGUUCUAGAGCAAACUAUUCCAUUUUAAUGGAAUUAUUCCAUUUAGAGCAAACUGCUCCAUUUUAUGGCCCUGUUAACAGCCAGAAGUGAAGUGGGACUGUCGGAUUUGGGAUAGUUGGUUUAACCCCUCUCCAUCCUUCAGUCUGCUCAUCCCAUGCUCAGUGCUGAGGCUGGUGGGUGGCUUUUGGGUGAAGCACAGGGAUAGAGGAGUAGAAGUGCCAUGAUGGGAUGCCAUGGGAGGUAUUUUUAGUGCCUGAGAAAUAUUAUGAUAAAGCAGUGGAUACCUUUCAAUCAUUUUACAAACCUGUAUUGACUGGAAGCACUCCAAAGCCAAUGGAAAAAUAGAAGAUGCUUAAUUCAGAGACUGAGCCGGGGUGAGUGCAGCCCCUUUCCAAUCACUGGAUCUUUCUCCUUGCCUUCAACAAACUCACAAAUGGAUUGCCCAAAGGGAUACAAAGCCAAAAGCUGCAGACCUUAUUUCUCUGCUGAGCUAACCUUUACAGCUCUGAUGAACAAUAUUUUACACAGCUAUUGCUUGAACAGAAGUCACUGCAUUGUUUUUUAUACCUCUGUCUCCUGUCAGGAAGGAGCUAGAGUAAAUUCUCCUUGGACAGCUCACGAAAUCCUGACCCGAGUGCUGAUCAUUGCUGUGUUUUCUCAACUCAGAGCACAGGCAAGGAUGUGCGGAAGGUUAUUGAUGAGCCCAGAGCAGCUUUCACCUUCUUUUUUUUUGUCAGUUAUAUAUGCCUGGCUCUGGCUGCGCAGUGCCUUUCUGUUUGAACCAGUAACACGACCUGACAGCAAGGCAUUCCCAUCUAAACAGUUGGGUCCAUGUCUAUCUGCCAGCUGUUUCUGCACUGAGAUAAACCAUGCCAGCUCGAUCUUUGCAGUGCAGCAGAGAAUGGGAAUAGGUCCUUCUGCUACAGCCCAGACUGCUCCAAUGGGCUCCACUGAAGACCAUGGGAACCCAUGGGUUUGCCCAGCACCUCAUCCAUGCAAUUGCUUGCUUCUUAGCAGCUCCAGUCCCCUCCUGGCCUCUGCCAGCUCUGCUCCAGCCCACACUCGUACCAAGGGGCACUGAGUGAUGAGAUUUCAUCAAGGACUCUUCCUGUGGGAUGGCCAAUGUCAAUCCUUCGUUGAUUCCCAUGGUGAGGAGGAUGGUCAGUGUCAGUCCUUAAUUGACUCCCAUGAUGAAGAUGAUGGCCAAUAUUAAUCCUUGAUUGAUUCCGAUGGUGAGGAGGAUGUCCAGUGUCAACCCUCGGUUGAUUCCCACAGUGAGGAAGAUGGUCAUUGUCAAUCCUUGGUUGACUCCCACAGUGGGGAUGAUGGCCAGUGUAAAUUCUUGGUUGACUUCCACAAUGAGGAGGAUGGUCAAUGUCAAUCCUUGGUUGAUUCCCACAGUGAGGAAGCUGUACAUAGAACACCAGAGGGAGAUUUACACUUUCCAUAAGUUGUCAAUCCUGACUCCUGGACCCCAGGAAAGCACAUUUGGAAGAGCAGGCAAGAAAGAUGUCCAAUCUUGGUGCUAGAUAUCUGCGCUUCAUACCAUAGCAUCUCUGCACUCAUCAGUGCGGGGCUGUGGAGAGAUGAGGGCACCUGUCACACACAAGGGUGGAAUAUGGGAAUUUGUGUCCUAUAACGAUGCUCUGACAAAGCUGAGUUACUAGGUCAAGAAAAAAAAUAAGGUGGUGUAGCAAGGAUGUGUUUUGGGUAAGCAGAAAGCGUCAGCUGCAUCAUCCUAACCUGACUGAAUGAUGGAGAAUUACAAGCUAGCAGCAACGCAGUUAAUGCAGGCAUUAAGGACGUUACAGAAGGGGUAGCUCUAAGUAAAUCUUUCAUGUAAUUAACGGUACAGUUCUGCAAAUUAGUGGAAAUUACAUAUUGAAAUGCUUGGACGCCAGCCACAGUGGAGGGAACGCGCUGACUUCUGUCUGAUCUCAGAGCCUGGCUGCCUUUUAUCUGCCAAAUACUUGAAUAGAAAACUACCUGGAAACCCAGCCAGUGUUUGGCGCAACAUGAGAACUGAGCAGAAGGCCACGGAAACAAAAGUGAGUGCAGGGACCGCACUCGAAGCCAUUCUUGUGGCUGAAUUCCCAUGGGAGAACAAAACCAAACAAAGAACGGAGCCCAAAAACCACAGACUGUAAUGCAGUGAUAUCACAGGUUAGAAUCUUUCCAUCCUCUCCUUUGCUUCAAUCCUGGCUCCUUAAACACGAGGAACUGUGCACGGGAAAGCACACAAGGAAUGAGUCACACUCAAAUAUUUGGAUGUUUACGUCUCUAUC